UAAAUAUUAGCCGCGCUUAGAAGGAAAUAUAAAGCUUUUGCUUGGAUUUUGUUUAAAUGGAACGAAAGAAAAUUUAAAAUAAUAUUUAGUUAAUAUUGCCGUCUUACACGGAAAAGAAUUCCAAAUCCAUUUUCAUGCAUCAAUCAUCUUUCCAAAUUGUUGCAACUGAGCAGAAAACAUAACCUAUAAAUGAACAGAUUCAAAUGUAGCCGCCAAAUAAGCAACCUCAUGGCUAAAUUUUACUGAAUCCGGUUUGAUGAAAACUCAAGCUAUAAUUUGAAACCAGGAAUUUACCCUGAUAUAGAAACAUACUAUCGUUUAAGCAGUUAUCAAAAUAAAUUGGAUUUUAUUGAGCUGCUGGCCCAAUACUUGCUGAUAUUACUAGCUUUGCUGUGAAAACUGUCACUAGAAGCAUCGCAAAGUGAAUGAGGGCAAGAUGAAAUAUAUCCUGUUAUCAAUUGAACAAUGCUCGCACUCGCAUCUUGGAUCCCACGAUGUACUGUAGGAGUUAUACGGCGUCAAUAUUGCGUUCAGCGAAUCAAAAUAGAGCAGGUACGCUGGCUAGGACUUGUUGUCCGCAUAUAUGGCAGCACUCCAGCCUUGAAAGUAUUCAAUGCAGUGCCUUCAAUCAUUUGGAAAGACCUGGUCUGAAGGACCUGGAUGCAUUUGGUAAAU